UUUGCCCUUGGGUUUAUAAUACGGUGUCAAUUUCGGUAACCCAUUGUCUCCUUUCGUGUUUUUUUUCAAUUUUUAUUGAUAAUCUUGUAACUUUCAACAUAUUUUGAAUACGGAUUUUACAUUUUGGGAAAGUUGCCGAAAUUGUACCGAUUUCUCAAGAUCGACCAUGCCCUGGGUGAAGUGCUGAUCGCAUGAAUAUCUAUGGUACAGCAGUAGUGCCUGUGAGAAUGGUACGGGGUGAAUGAUACUAACGUGACUCAUAAAAUGGUGACCAAAUCUAUGUUAUAAUUUGUUCUUUUCUCUAAAUCGAUAUUUGAUUGUUGGAUCGGAAUUAUCACACGUGGUGCUGCUUUGUGAUACCAGAGAAAAAUAGCAGAAAAGUGGUGUUCAGUGGCUGCUUUCCGAUAGAGGGCAGAUGUACUACAGUAGAUGGCGUUUGGAUUGGCUGCAGUCCAUAUGCAGUUUGGUGUGUCCCAGAGCUGUUUGCAGAAAAACGGCACAGUGACACAUUUGAUUCUGGGCGAGUGGCUGAGAUUCGAUUUGUGGAUCAACACUUUUUCACAGGCUGAAAUCUUAAGGAAGGACCCCCACAUGGACUUCUUCACCCCGAGCCUCGAACCCCCAGAAGGGAUGACUCUGAAUACAGGAUAAGUGUUAAAUAUCUUCGAUUUUUUUGUCUAAUGCUGUCCCGUACAACGAACA